rnacentral:tRNA from 1 species
GGCCCCGUAGCUCAGCGGUAGAGCGCGCCGGGACCGCGAAGGCGGGCCGGAGCCGGUCCCUUAUCCUACUCCGAUCGUGGUCGCGGGUUCGACUCCCGCCGGGGCCA